rnacentral:rRNA from 1 species
AUUGAACGCUGGCGGCAUGCUUUACACAUGCAAGUCGAACGGCAGCGGGGGCUUCGGCCUGCCGGCGAGUGGCGAACGGGUGAGUAAUGCAUCGGAACGUGCCCAUGUCGUGGGGGAUAACUACGCGAAAGCGUGGCUAAUACCGCAUACGCCCUGAGGGGGAAAGCGGGGGAUCUUUCGGGACCCUGCGCGAUUGGAGCGGCCGAUGUCGGAUUAGCUAGUUGGUGGGGUAAAGGCUCACCAAGGCGACGAUCCGUAACUGGUCUGAGAGGAUGAUCAGCCACACUGGGACUGAGACACGGCCCAGACUCCUACGGGAGGCAGCAGUGGGGAAUUUUGGACAAUGGGCGCAAGCCUGAUCCAGCCAUGCCGCGUGAGUGAAGAAGGCCUUCGGGUUGUAAAGCUCUUUCGGCCGGGAAGAAAUCGCAUUCUCUAAUAUAGGAUGUGGAUGACGGUACCGGACUAAGAAGCACCGGCUAACUACGUGCCAGCCGCCGCUGUAAGAC